GACGAACGCUGGCGGCGUGCUUAACACAUGCAAGUCGAACGGAAAGGCCCUGCUUUUGUGGGGUGCUCGAGUGGCGAACGGGUGAGUAACACGUGAGUAACCUGCCCUUGACUUUGGGAUAACUUCAGGAAACUGGGGCUAAUACCGGAUAGGAGCUCCUGCUGCAUGGUGGGGGUUGGAAAGUUUCGGCGGUUGGGGAUGGACUCGCGGCUUAUCAGCUUGUUGGUGGGGUAGUGGCUUACCAAGGCUUUGACGGGUAGCCGGCCUGAGAGGGUGACCGGGGCGAUGGGGAUGAAGAUAGGGCGCGGGGUGCUACGCGGGGCAGCGGCGGGGAGGAGGACGAAGUGGGCUGAAGUCUGAUCAGACGUCGCGGCGGGCGGAAUGACGGUCAGGGGGUUGAAAAACGAAGCAGAGUAUGACACAGCGUGAGUGACGGUAAUAAGUGAAGAAGAACCCGCCAACUUCGUG
rnacentral:rRNA from 1 species